UAUUAAAAAUUUCAUCCAUUUGCAUUGUUAAAAACUGGCAUGGUUGACAGAAUAAUCAAAUAAUAACACAUGACGUGCUACCUAUACUUUAUGCUGACAUACAAAGAUUAAUUUUUAAUAGUAAAAAUGAAAAAAAAUUAAAUA
rnacentral:pre_miRNA from 1 species